rnacentral:rRNA from 1 species
CCUACGGGAGGCAGCAGUGGGGAAUAUUGCACAAUGGGCGAAAGCCUGAUGCAGCGAUGCCGCGUGCGGGAAGAAGGCCUUAGGGUUGUAAACCGCUUUCAGUAGGGAAGAAAAUGACGGUACCUACAGAAGAAGGUGCGGCCAACUACGUGCCAGCAGCCGCGGUGACACGUAGGCACCAAGCGUUGUCCGGAUUUAUUGGGCGUAAAGAGCUCGUAGGCGGUUUGGUAAGUCGGGUGUGAAAACUCUGGGCUCAACCCAGAGAGGCCACUCGAUACUGCUAUGACUUGAGUACGGUAGGGGAGUGGGGAAUUUCUAGUGUAGCGGUGAAAUGCGCAGAUAUUAGAAGGAACACCAGUGGCGAAGGCGCCACUCUGGGCCGUAACUGACGCUGAGGAGCGAAAGCAUGGGUAGCAAACAGGAUUAGAUACCCUGGUAGUCCAUGCCGUAAACGUUGGGCACUAGGUGUGGGUCUCAACCAACGAGAUCCGCGCCGUCGCUAACGCAUUAAGUCGCCCCGCCGUGGGGAGUACGGUCGCAAGACUAAAACUUAAGGAAUUGACG